rnacentral:piRNA from 1 species
UAAACAGGUAUCCUGUGGGAAUGUGCUGCC